AAUGAACGCUGGCGGCAGGCCUAAAACACGCAAGUCGGACGCUGUAGCAAUACAGAGUGGCGCACGGGUGAGUAACAUGUGGGAAUAUGCCUUUUGGUUCGGAAUAGCUCCGGGAAACUGGAAUUAAUACCGUAUGGUCCCUUCGGGGUAAAGAUUUAUCGCCAAAAGAUUAGCCCGCACUGGAUUAGCUAGUUGGUGAGGUAAUGGCUCACCAAGGCGACGAUCCAUAGCUGGUCUGAGAGGAUGAUCAGCCACACUGGGACUGGGACACGGCCCAGACUCCUACGGGAGGCAGCAGUUAGGAAUAUUGGACAAUGGGCGCAAGCCUGAUCCAGCCAUGCCGCGUGAGCGAUGAAGGCCUCGGGUUGUAAAGCUCUUAGCCGACGAAUAUAAUGACUGUAGUCGGAGAAUAAGCCCGCUAACUUCGUGCCAGCAGCCGCGGUAAUACGAAGGGGGCCGAGCGUUAUUCGGAAUCACUGGGCGUAAAGCGUGCGUAGGCUGUCUUGAAAGUUGGGAGUGAAAGCCCAGGGCUCAACCCUGGAAUUGCUCUCAAAAACUACAAGACUCGAAUUCGGGAGAGGAUAGCGGAAUUCUCAGUGUAGCAGUGAAAAUGCGUAGAUAUUGAGAGGAACACCAGUGGCGCAAGCGGCUAUCUGGACCGACAUUGACGCUGAGGCACGAAAG
rnacentral:rRNA from 1 species